rnacentral:rRNA from 1 species
AUUGAACGCUGGCGGCAGGCCUAACACAUGCAAGUCGAGCGGAUGAGAGGAGCUUGCUUCUCGAUUCAGCGGCGGACGGGUGAGUAAUGCCUAGGAAUCUGCCUGGUAGUGGGGGACAACGGUUCGAAAGGAACGCUAAUACCGCAUACGUCCUACGGGAGAAAGCAGGGGACCUUCGGGCCUUGCGCUAUCAGAUGAGCCUAGGUCGGAUUAGCUAGUUGUUGAGGUAAUGGCUCACCAAGGAGACGAUCCGUAACUGGUCUGAGAGGAUGAUCAGUCACACUGGAACUGAGACACGGUCCAGACUCCUACGGGAGGCAGCAGUGGGGAAUAUUGGACAAUGGGCGAAAGCCUGAUCCAGCCAUGCCGCGUGUGUGAAGAAGGUCUUCGGAUUGUAAAGCACUUUAAGUUGGGAGGAAGGGUUGUAGAUUAAUACUCUGCAAUUUUGACGUUACCGACAGAAUAAGCACCGGCUAACUCUGUGCCAGCAGCCGCCGUAAUAC